UGUCUGGUCUGUACUGACGCUGAGCUCGAAAGUAUGGGUAGCAAACAGGAUUAGAUACCCUGGUAGUCCAUACCGUAAACGAUGAAUGCUAAGUGUUGGAGGUUUCCCCUUCAGUGCUGCAGCUAACGCAUUAAGCAUUCCGCUGGGGAGUACGGCCGCAAGGCUGAAACUCAAAGGAAUUGACGGGGGCCCGCACAAGCGGUGGAGCAUGUGGUUUAAUUCGAAGCUACGCGAAGAACCUUACCAGGUCUUGACAUACUAUGCAAAUCUAAGAGAUUAGACGUUCCCUUCGGGGACAUGGAUACAGGUGGUGCAUGGUUGUCGUCAGCUCGUGUCGUGAGAUGUUGGGUUAAGUCCCGCAACGAGCGCAACCCUUAUUAUCAGUUGCCAGCAUUAAGUUGGGCACUCUGGUGAGACUGCCGGUGACAAACCGGAGGAAGGUGGGGAUGACGUCAAAUCAUCAUGCCCCUUAUGACCUGGGCUACACACGUGCUACAAUGGAUGGUACAACGAGUUGCGAACUCGCGAGAGUAAGCUAAUCUCUUAAAGCCAUUCUCAGUUCGGAUUGUAGGCUGCAACUCGCCUACAUGAAGUCGGAAUCGCUAGUAAUCGCGGAUCAGCAUGCCGCGGUGAAUACGUUCCCGGGCCUUGUACACACCGCCCGUCACACCAUGAGAGUUUGUAACACCCAAAGUCGGUGGGGUAACCUUUAGGAACCAGCCGCCUAAGGUGGGACAGAUGAUUAGGGUGAAGUCGUAACAAGGUAACCA
rnacentral:rRNA from 1 species